AUCCAAGCCCUAAAACCCUUGUUCUAAAAUCAAAGUAAAGCAGUUAGAGUGUAUAUUACAUAAUGCUAAGAAUCCAUGAAAAAGAGAACUUCCGAGGAAAAUAAAAAGGAGUGAACUAUGUGUCACUAAUGCAUGUUCACAUCCAUAUAAGAGAAAGAAUACUAAAGUGAAACUGGACAAACCACAUAAAUGCGUGCGAACAAAUGUAAAAGCACAGUAAAGUCAAUCAAUAAAGGUCAGAUCUUUGGAUAAUGUUUAUAAAAAAACGUAAUUUGAUGACUUUUUUUGAUGGAAAACGAAUUCACACCAGAUACAGAGUUUACUCAUAAAACCAAAAACGAGAAAAUCAGCAAAACCCAACAAGCAUGAGAAGGAUCUAUUCCAGAUUCCACAACCCAUUUCUCUUAAAAAAAACCCGAUCGAAUCAAAUAGACAAAACCCUAAUAGCAACAAGAAUCAAAUCGAUAAAUUUAUAACAAAUAUCUCGUAAAAAUUCUCUCUUUAACUCUAAUUUGAUAACCAAAAGUUACUUCAGUUACAACAUGUACAUCAUCAUGAUUCAUAAACGAAACAGAGGAAAGACAACAAAAAAAUUGGAUGAUCCGACAAAGACAGAUCCAGAAGUCAGAAAACGGAUAAUAAAAGAGAAAGGAGCUCGAAAAUAUGUUUUACCAAAUUAAUUUCUUCAAAACAAGA